rnacentral:rRNA from 1 species
UACGAAGGGGGCUAGCGUUGCUCGGAAUCACUGGGCGUAAAGGGCGCGUAGGCGGCCGAUCAAGUCAGAGGUGAAAGCCCAAGGCUCAACCUUGGAAUUGCCUUUGAUACUGUUCGGCUCGAGACCGGAAGAGGUUAGUGGAACUGCGAGUGUAGAGGUGAAAUUCGUAGAUAUUCGCAAGAGCACCAGUGGCGAAGGCGGCUAACUGGUCCGGUUCUGACGCUGAGGCGCGAAAGCGUGGGGAGCAAACAGG